UACACUUAGUUCUCACUGUCCAACCGCUUCUAAGACCUUAGUUCCUAUGUAGCCUCUCUCUGAAUAUAGGUGCACUUCCGCUUGAUUAAAAUCAACUUUAGGAUAUUCGGAAGAUCCCAUGGCAGAACAGUCAAAAAAAGAGAAUAAAACCUGACCAAUAAUUGAUUCAGUAUGGAGACCCAAAUACAAAUAAACUUGGACAUAGGGGAAUUUACAAUUCUGGCGCUUUGCCGAAGCAUUUAAUAAAUGCAACUUUCGCUUCUGUAGAGUGGAUUUAUAAUGGAAGGAGCCGAAGAUCCGGAUUCACCUACUAUUUGCUCUUUGGCAAGAUCGAUACACAUCCUGAACUCUACAGUGGGUAACUUGGUGCAGCUAAUGGAGAAGCUAACCCAACAACCAACUAAUGCGAACUUUUCUCAACCAAAUAGGUUGAGUGGUUUGACUUCCAAAGAUGAGGACAGUACUACUGGCAUUAUUCCAGCCCAGCGACAAUGACCAGUGAGUCCCAGCCAAUCAGUGAGCCAGGAUUUUCAUACAGACUUAAAUUCAGAGAAUAGGAGGGGCGGAACCUCCUACAAAGGAAGGAACACACUCAGUCAAUGGCUGGAAGACUAUCACAAAUUACAACUCGAAAACAACUACUUGAGGGAAUGUGUAUGAAAGGAGCGAGUACCCAGGGGCCUUCAGAUGUGGAAGUUCCCAACAGGUUUGGAGACCAUCUGAUGAAGUGCUUGUUACGUUUUUCCUAUGUCGACAGUCAAAAGAGAGGUGGAGUGAUACACUGGUCAAGGACAGGCAAGAUUUUAAGAAAGGCCCUAGAAGGAAAGAAACAAGUUGCGAGGAGCUGGAAUUAUUUCAUGUUGGAUGGCAGACAUGUAUGAAGUGACAAAAUACAGAAUUUACCUAAAGCAGAAUUUAACUGUAAUCUUUCUAAAGGGUUAAAAUUCACCCCUGCAUCCUUUGCUGAAAUGUGGAGUUUUGCUUAUUUAUUUAUUUUGAUCUUAGGAAAUUCAGUGAAAUGCUAAAUCUUUUGUAAUGGUAGUUUGAUUUUAACUAGUACUGCAUUUACAGGAGAUUUAACAUUAAUGUAACCUCAAAUUCUAAUGUUGCUGUAUUUGGAAGGGCAUGCAAGAGAGAUUUUAGGACUUGGAAUGAAAAACACCUUGUUUUAAUAACAACAGAAAACAAUAAUGGUUUCUGAAAAUGAUUGAUAUAGUAACGAUAAACAAGAUGACAAGAUGGCGAGGAUUCAUACAUCCAUAGAUUCAUAGACUGUUACUAGGCUAAUGACCCAGGGGGGGUCUUUCUAAGCCUAGCCAAGUUUUCCCAAAAGAAUAAUGAUAGAAAAGUGCUGCUUACAGAAUAUGAAUAUUAUUUACACAGCAUAUCUUUGCAUGUAGCUAAUAAAGCUGGAUUAUAAUUAUAGGUAUAUAGGUAGCUGUCUGAAAUGUCAGGACUCACAAUGCCGAGUCCAGGAAUAUAGAAACUGAAUGACUGAAAAUCUUAACUAAUAUAUGACAGGUCUAGCAUUGUCAUUUCUUGUGAUAUUCCCUAUUCUCCAAGAUUUGAUGAGCUUGGAGCUGGCAUAUAGAAGUUUGAUGAGGUGCAGAAGGGCUUCAGGAAGAACAAGUAUAAAAGAGAUGAGUGUUGUUUGAUAUUCACUUUACUGUUGCACCUUCAGUGUUUUUUGGUGACAUUUUGGGUCCAUGUUAAAUAUGCUGAUGCCAUAAAUAGUAAUUGUUUUGUAAUUGUUGCAUUUUAAAAUAUAUGUUACAAGUUUCUAAAUAUUAAAAAGCUAUAUUCUCCAAUGAAAUGUGGGCUCUCUAAGGUAUUUAAAAGUUUCAGUAAUCCACUGCUAAGACCAUCUCUGCCAGGAAUGGUGGACUUUAAUUGUCAAGAUCUUGCAUUUUGUUGAUUAUAAACUCAAGUCUAUUAUAAUUGGUAUGAACACAAGUCAUAGUGACAAAUGAGUUUUUACUGAAGCUGUCAAAUCACUGUUUAAGUACCUUAUUCAUUGCAAUUACUGUGCUUUGCUUCUUUCCACCAAUUCUGAUUAUGUUGGAAGUUUUAUUAAGAUGUUGUUGUUAUUGUGUGU